rnacentral:rRNA from 1 species
GACGAACGCUGGCGGCGUGCCUAAUACAUGCAAGUCGAACGCAGUGGGGACGGUUGAUUAACACGUGGGUAACCUCCCAUCAGAGGGGAUAACACCUGGAAACAGGUGCUUAAAUGAUAUUGAUGGAUGGACUCGCGGUGCAUUAGCUAGUUGGUGAGGUAACGGCUCACCUAGGCUACGGUGCAUAGCCGAGCUGUGAGGAGGAUAGGCCACACUGGGACUGAGACACGGCCCAGACUCCUACGGUAGGCAGCAGUAGGGAAUCUUCGGCAAUGGACGAAAGUCUGACCGAGCAACGCCGCGUGAGUGAAGAAGGGUUUCGGAUCGUAAAACUCUGUUGUUAGAGAAGCGGUAUCUAACCAGAAAGCCCCGGCUAACUACGUGCCAGCAGCCGCGGUAAUUC